rnacentral:misc_RNA from 1 species
GCCUUUCGCCUUGAUAACACUGAUUAUACCCAUUAAAAAUAAACAUAGAGUACCACUACAAAUGUCCUCUUUCUCAAGUGGCCAUACAUGUUUUCUUUGCUCUCAAUCAUUUGUUCUUUCAAUAGUUUGCUGUAAUUAUUAUGCUUCAAUUAUCAAUUUUUUUAUUUGUUCUUUCAAAAGUUUGUUGUAAUUAUUAUACUUUAAUUAUCAAUUUUUUUUUCUAAAUAAUCCAUUCUUUAUUCAAUCAUCGUUAGAUUUGUGCAUUAUUAUUUUGAUUUAUUUAUUUUGUGAUUUAUUCAUGAUAGACUAUCAGUGUUAGCCAAUUCAAGAUUUAUCAUGAUGAGUUUACCAUUUAAUAAAUUAUCUAAUAGAAAAGGGUAUUUUUGUACUUCUAAUAAUUAUUUACCUUUCUAUCACCUCUUUCUAAACAUAAAGAAUUUACAUUAUCUCUCUUUACCUUUCCAUUAAUUCACCCAUUUUCAAACAUGAGAUUUUUUUUAUUGUUACUCUCUUUAUCCUUUCUUACCCUUCUAUUAUUUACCAUUCCCUCAGCUCAUCGAAACAGGCCCUUAGAAACAGGUAGAGUGCACUUACAUGACGAGUUGGUCCUUUUUCUUUCCCAGCCUAGGUGGUUGUGUUUGAUAUAUUUAAUAUUAUU